AGAAAAGAGCCAGAAAUCCCCGAUGUGGCGGCAACUGCGGCGGUGUCUCCUCUGCGACCGGAACUAACGCGAGGAGGAGGGAAGAGCUUCUAGAGAUUGCCUACCGCAAGACCUGGCUUUUCAGGAGUUCGAACCCUAAUAAACAAGGUAGAGCUGGGAGCAGGUUGCUUUUCCUUUACACGAGAGAAUGAACACCUGCUCAGAGAACUGAGGUUAAAAAGGCCAGAGUACAAAUGCUUCCUGUGCCCCAGACCCAUGGGAGAGAAACAGGAGGAUCCACGGAGCAAUGUGUAUCAGUUUGGAUUAACAAACCAUCUUUUCACUUGUGAAAAACUGAAACACCUGGAAAAAAAAAAAAGAAAGGAGAGUAAUUAUAAAAGUGUGCAAAUUCCCCAGCUUUUGCAUGCAAGGAAAACAAUAAGUAGUUGAAAACUUGGAUUGGUAAG